CUGCUGCUGAAAUCCAUGUUUGCGUGAAGGGGCAACUAAUAGUAACGAUCUCAACUCUACAUCGCUUAUUGCUGUUUUCCAAGAGUCUUCCUAAGUAACUGGAGAAUUACACGGGCUAUCUCAUUCGCGUUGAGCAACAACCGUAUCCAGGCUUCAUAUUCUCUAACAUUGUCUCCUAACUCUACCAGCCUCGCCCUACUCAGAAAUCGCACAUCAUCGGGUGCUAGAUUCUGUUGGACCGGCUAUCUGUCCUCGAACUUCAAAAGCCAGCCGGUUGAUCAUCCUUUCCUUAGCUGCACAUAGCCAUUUUAUAUGCACUCCUCCUGGUGUUUCGAUUUUGACUUCUUGCUUGGGCCAACGAAGCAGCCGGGGGUAGGGCAGAAACGGACGUGAGAGAAGAUUGGUGGGAUCCCCUUUUGAGAUACACUUCUACAAUCACUUAUUUUCAAUAGAAUUGAAAGCUACUAGCUCAUAGUGCAUCAAUUAAAAUUCCUUAAAGAAUACAUUUUGCCAUGGGGAAAGGGUGCCGAAUAUCACACUUUAUAAGAAUGCCAUCAAUUCUUGAACAUUUUUAUAAUAGUUCCUGGGGAAUUUUUGAUUCCUGAAAUGCUUUUUAAGCGUGAGGAAGACCACACCUUUUCUAAUAAUGUCACUACCCUUAUGACAUUUAUAAUUCUGUGGCAUUUUGGGUUCUCAUAAUUUUUUUAAGCCUGAGGGUUAUUAGGCCUCAAGCUACCUGCAGAAUCAUGACGUUAUAGAUGGACUACGGCAGGGUAUCUGUUGAUCAACCAACCCUUUUCUAUGCGAAUUUUGCUUGGCAUCGGCCGAACUCCUUGGGAGCCUUCAUGACGGGUACUAGUACGAACUGCAAUUACUCAAUUGCUUUCUUGCAUCCUUAUAUCUGAUUAUUCUAUUGGACUUUAUGUAUAUAGGUAUGUAUAUGUACAUUAUGUGUAAUCCUUCUAUUAUAUACAGAGUUGUGAGACAAGGAAGUUUGUGCAAAUUCAAAAAAUGUAGAUUAGGAAAAUGAUCACCAUUUGUCCUCAUGCGAAACAAAAUCAUAAGGGUAAGCCUGUGGGAGGGGAAUACCGUUGCAGGAAAAAAGCGUUUUUCCUUUAUUGUGUGCCCCCCUGAAUCGCUGGGGGAACAGCAAGGUAAAGCCGAAAGGAUCGAAGUUGGUGGCUGGAAUCAUAUGUAGCAUUCAACGUCACCAUGGCAAAAAUCGAAGAGGAGGACUAGAGAAAAAAAAGAGAAUGAAAAAAAGGAAUCGAGAAAAUGGUGAGAAGACACUGGGGGUGAACGAGAAAGAAGACGAAGAACAAAAGUUGA
rnacentral:sRNA from 2 species